rnacentral:lncRNA from 1 species
UAGGCUAAAACCAUCAAUGGCAUAGGCAAGGAAAGCUCUGUUGAAAAACGUCAGAAAACAUGUGUUCAAUCAGACAAUAAAGCAUGCAACACAAGGCCUCAGAGAACAAGGAAAAUGAAUUCUAAGUAUACAAAUAGUGCUUAGAGCUCAUGAUAAUAGUUCAUAAUUAGCAGUAGCUCGAUAGAAUAUCCUACAGUUAAUGAUACUAGCUAGAAAGAAUAGUUCAUAGUCAAUACAGAUCAUUACAUGUACUGUAUUAUAAUAGUCGAAUGUUGUAUAUGCAUAAACUGAGAUAUAUUACUAUGCAAUCUGUUAUUUUAUUUAUGAUUUUUUAUCACAUCUCUGUAUAUACAGACCUAAUUUUGCAACCGAUUGCACAUGAAGCAUCCAAACAUAUAAUUCAUGCAAAGGAAUUGAAAAGAAAAACAGCGUCAACCAACCUUUGCCUGCCCGCCGAUUCCCCCAGGCUCGCCACCCUGGCCGAUCCGUGACCCAACCACUGCACCGCCUCCACCUUACAUUUUGCUGGAUGCCGAAAUGAGACCCAAAAUAGCAGAUUUUGUUAUGACCAAAAUUUUUGGUGAAAACCAGCAAAAGGCGAAUACUAAAAAAUCCGAGGACAUGCAGUACAAGAGAAGAAUAAUCUUAAACUUUCCAACGCUGCGGUUAACAGAUUCACAGAAGAAAGCAUAUGCCUUGAUCGAAAUAGAGAAACUAAUGAGACAAGCAGGAAAAUCGCUAAGGGACUACCCAGACAUAGAGCUACCAAAUGCUGCCGAGAUAGAGGAACUUGGUAACAGACUUAUAAACGAAGAGCUUAACUAUGACAAAGACCAACUGAAGGAUGAGCACCUCGCCAUAUUAAACAGCCUUAACACAGAUCAGAAAAAAGCCUUCGAUGCGAUAAUGGAAUCUAUCAACGGAGGGCAAGGAAAGCAAAUAUUUGUGGAAGGCUAUGGCGGGACAGGGAAAACAUACCUAUGGAAAGCACUCACGACAAAACUAAGAUCCGAGGGGAAGAUAGUCCUUGCAGUUGCUUCAUGUGGUAUUGCAGCACUUCUACUCCAAGGUGGGAGAACGGCACACUCAAGAUUUCGCAUUCCAAUAAAGAUCACGGAAGAGUCAACAUGCGAAAUAAAGCAAGGAACCCAUUUGGCCGAACUACUAAAAAGGACAUCACUGAUACUAUGGGAUGAGGCUCCGAUGGCAAACAAGCAUUGCUUUGAAGCAUUGGACAAAAGCCUAAGAGAUAUAAUGAGGUUCACUAAUGAAAACAGCAGUGAAAGGCCAUUUGGCGGCAUGACAGUUGUAUUGGGCGGGGACUUUAGACAGAUCCUUCCGGUGAUUCCAAAGGGAAGGAGAGAGAAUAUAGUGAAUGCAUCAAUCAAACGCUCAUACCUCUGGAAUCACUUUGAAAUUAUCAAACUAACAGAAAACAUGCGACUAAGCUGCAUGUCCAAUGAACCGCUAGAGAAGCAAAAGGUCGCUGAAUUCGCUAAGUGGAUUCUACAUAUCGGUGACGGAGCAUCAGCAUCAGAUGAAGGAGAGGAAUGGGUAAAAAUCCCAAGUGAUAUCCUACUACAAAAAGGACAAGACCCAAAAGAAACAAUCGUCAAAAGCAUUUAUCCAAACUUGCUGGACAACUACCGUGAAAGAGAAUUUCUAGAGGAAAGAGCUAUCCUAUGCCCAAGAAACGAAACAGUCCAGGAAAUUAAUGAGUACAUAAUGAACCAAAUACAACGAGAAGAAAUGACAUACCUAAGCUGUGACACCGUUUGCAAAGCGAUGACAAACAACAGUAGCAUGGAGCACAUGUAUCCUACCGAGUUCCUCAACACGUUGAAAUUCCCUGGAAUACCAAACCACGAACUUAAGCUUAAAGUAGGCCUGCCUGUCAUGCUACUUCGUAACAUCAACCAAACUGCAGGCCUAUGCAACGGCACGAGAAUGACAAUCACACAGUUAGGUAAGAAAUACAUCGAAGCACAGAUCAUAACAGGUACACAUGUGGACGACAAGGUAUACAUACAAUCAUCAUGUCACCGAGCGACACCAACUGGCCAUUUGUCCUGAAAAGAAGACAACAUCCUCUAUUAGUUUGCUUCGCAAUGACCAUAAAUAAAAGCCAAGGCCAGUCCCUGAACAAGGUUGGUUUAUAUCUACCUAAACAAGUCUUCUGCCAUGGGGGCCUGUUUGGGGAGCUUUAGAUUCCGAGAAGCAGCUGUUUGGUAGCCAGCUUUUGAGAAUCUGGAAAAGCUCUGAAACCCAGCUUCUGGCUUCUUAGUUCAUUUUUCAGAAUCUAUAACUGCAGAUUCUCAGAAGCUGUGGACUGUUUGAGGCAGCUUCUAGCAGAAGCAGCUUUUGGGAAAAGCUGCAGCUGGGAG